rnacentral:misc_RNA from 1 species
AACGCACCUUGCGCCAGCGGGAAUUCCUGCUGGCAUGCCUGUUUGAGUAUUGGAUAAACAAACUUACAAACUUAUUUUGUAGAGUUGGAUGAAGCAUUCUGCUGUGUGCUCAUCUUAAAUAAAGGAGUUGAUUUUGCCAACAAACCAACAGAGAUAGUCCGAAAGGUCAAUCUGAAGGUAAGGCUUAAAAUAUACUAAAAAAACAAAAAUUUAUUAAUAACAAUCUCAAAUCAAGCAAGACUACCCGCUGAACUUAA